UCCAGCUUGUAGCCAGAGGCAUUGGCAUGUGAGGCUCACCAAAAUCUACACAUAAUGCUGGAGCAGCUCCGGGUAAUGGACCAUUGAAUGUGCUUGCUGCACUUAUGACCACCAUAACUAACGGAGUCUCCAAGCAAAUGCAUGCCCUGAAUUUAUACGGUAUUUUUGAGGAGCUCCGGGUAAUGGGUGUGCUUAAUGAAAUAUCUAGGCGGAUGAGCUGGCAGGCAUUAGACUCUCAAUAACUAUACAAAAACCUCGUUUUUUGGAAUUAGGACUCAACUAUAUUCGGAAAUUUAGAAUUUUACUUGAUAGAUUUACAAAAUAACACAAUUCACGUUUUUCAUGAAAAUAUAAUCUUACAAUUGAGGGAUUCACAA